AGCCUCUCACUAUCGCCCGGGCUGGAGUGCAAUGGCACGAUCUCCGCUCACUGCAACCUCCGCUUCCCAAGUUCAAGUGAUUCUCCUGCCUCAGCCUCCCGAGUGUCUGGGACUACAG
rnacentral:lncRNA from 1 species